AUGACAUGCCUGUUCUUCUGACCAUGCUGGUUUGUGACUGCAUGGGCCCUUCACCCAGACCCUACUUUGAUCCUCCACCGUCUCUGGCAGCCUGACUCUGGGAAUGUCACAGAAUGCAGCAGGGAAGACGAGUGACUGCUGCUUUGAUUUUUUCCCAUCAUGGUGAUCUCUAUUUCCAGGGUUGUAGUGGGUUGCUCACGUGGCACAGAAGCACUCUACAAGCUGCUCACUCAACACAAGCAAGCUCCCCAUGGUUCCUACAGAAUCACUGCAUCUGAUUCUCAGUCCUCAUGAACCAGGAAAUCCUCAGUGAACUUAAAAUUCUUGUAAAAGACCUGUCUAUUUCCCUUUUUGUAUAGCACUCAUUUGUUCACAGUACUUGAUCUUUCCCAAUAUUUGUUGAGUUAUUGUAGCUGUACAGCUAAACUUAAACUUUGGAUGUUCUCAAAAGCCUGGGUACCUUCAGGCUUGAAAUGCUAUAAAGCAAUCUAACAUAUAA